rnacentral:lncRNA from 10 species
UUUCGCCCCUGCAAAGUGAAGGAUUAGACCUUAUACCACAGUGAUCCUGGUAAGGCCUCCUUCUCUGGCACAGAUUGCAGGCGGGAAAGGGUUGGGAGAGGGAGGGCUAGGAGAAGCUGCUUAAUGCUUUGCCCUGUGCCAAGUCAAUUGAGAAUCAGGAGGUUCUGUGCUUGCAAUUUAACAGCUAUUUAUAGCGUGCAUUCUGAGAUUCCCUCACAUAUACCACAGACCCAGUCUCCAGAAGAAAAAUCGCUCCCCUCUGGAACUCCCUGCUUACGAACAGCAAGGUGCAAGCCCAGGGUCUCGCUACAUUGCCCAGGCUGGUCCCGAACUCCUGGAUUCACUGAUUUCCCACCUCAACCUUCCAAGUAGCUGGGAUUACAGGUAUGUGCCACCUGCAUCCAGUUUUUUUAGAUUCUUUUUAACUACUGUGUACCACUUUACUAUAUGAACAUAUUAUAGUUUAUUCUGUUGAUGCAUACUUAGGUUCCUUAUUUUUCCCCUUUACAAACAGGGCUGUGAUGAACAUUAUUAUACAUGUCUCCUUGGGCACAUUUGAGACCUUCUCUAGGGUAUCUACAUAGUGUGGAACUGCUGGGUCAGAAUUUACAGCAUCUUCCACCAGAUAAUGCAAAACCACUUGCCAGAAUGACUGUACCAAUUUAUACUCCUUCCUGCAAGUGUCUAAGAUUUUAAUACUCCCCAUUCUUGCCAAACUUAUAUAGUCAGACUGUUAGAUUUUUGCCACUGUGAUGGGUAUGGGUGUAAAAUGGUAUCCCAUGUUUGUUUCAAUUUGCAUUUCCUCAGUGGCAGGUGAAGUCAAGCAACUUUUUAUGCCUUUUGGCCAUUUGGGCUGCUUAACUACCCUGUUU